rnacentral:rRNA from 1 species
GACGAACCGUGCGAACGUUGUUCGGAUUCACUGGGCUUAAAGGGCGCGUAGGCGGGCUCUCAAGUCGGGGGUGAAAGCCCGCGGCUCAACCGUGGAAGUGCCUCCGAUACUGGGAGUCUUGAGGGAGGUAGGGGUGCGUGGAACUUCCGGUGGAGCGGUGAAAUGCGUAGAUAUCGGUAGGAACGCCGGUGGCGAAAGCGACGCGCUGGAUCUCUUCUGACGCUGAGGCGCGAAAGCCAGGGGAGCAAACGGG